rnacentral:rRNA from 1 species
AAGUUUGAUUCUGGCUCAAACGAACGCUGGCGGCAUGCCUAACAUGCAAGUCGAACGAGACCUUCGGGUCUAGUGGCGCACGGGUGCGUAACGCGUGGGAAUCUGCCCUUGGGUUCGGAAUAACAGUGAGAAAUUACUGCUAAUACCGGAUGAUGACGUAAGUCCAAAGAUUUAUCGCCCAAGGAUGACCCGCGUAAGAUUAGCUAGUUGGUGGGGUAAAGGCCUACCAAGGCGACGAUCUUUAGCUGGUCUGAGAGGAUGAUCAGCCACACUGGGACUGAACACGGCCCAACUCCUACGGGAGGCAGCAGUGGGGAAUAUUGGACAAUGGGCGAAAGCCUGAUCCAGCAAUGCCGCGUGAGUGAUGAAGGCCUUAGGGUUGUAAAGCUCUUUUACCAGGGAUGAUAAUGACAGUACCUGGAGAAUAAGCUCCGGCUAACUCCGUGCCAGCAGCCGCGGUAAUACA